GGCCCUACGGGAGGCAGCAGUGGGGGAUAUUGCACAAUGGGGGGAACCCUGAUGCAGCGACGCCGCGUGGGUGAAGAAGUAUUUCGGUAUGUAAAGCCCUAUCGGCAGGGAAGAAUUUAGACGGUGCCUGACUAAGAAGCCCCGGCUAACUACGUGCCAGCAGCCGCGGUAAUACGUAGGGGGCAAGCGUUAUCCGGAUUCACUGGGUGUAAAGGGAGCGUAGACGGCGAUGCAAGUCUGAAGUGAAAGCCCGGGGCUCAACCCCGGGACUGCUUUGGAAACUGUAUGGCUGGAGUGCUGGGGAG
rnacentral:rRNA from 1 species